rnacentral:rRNA from 1 species
UACGGAGGGGUGCAAGCGUUAUCCGGGAUUUUACUGGGGUUUUAAAGGGUGCGUAGGAGGGCAGGGUAAGUCCGUGGUUGAAAUCUCUGAGCUUAACUCAGAAACUGCCGUGGAUACUACCGGUCUUGAAUAUCGUGGAGGUGAGCGGAAUAUGUCAUGUAGCGGUGAAAUGCUUAGAUAUGACAUAGAACACCAAUUGGCGAAGGCAGCUCACUACCCCGAAUAUUGACUCUGAGGCACGAAAGCGUGGGGGAUCAAACAGG